AUUGAACGCUGGCGGCAUGCCUUACACAUGCAAGUCGAACGGCAGCACGGGGGCAACCCUGGUGGCGAGUGGCGAACGGGUGAGUAAUACAUCGGAACGUGCCCAGUCGUGGGGGAUAACGUAGCGAAAGUUAAGCUAAUACCGCAUACGAUCUAUGGAUGAAAGCGGGGGAUCGCAAGACCUCGCGCGAUUGGAGCGGCCGAUGGCAGAUUAGGUUGUUGGUGGGGUAAUGGCUUACCAAGCCUCCGAUCUGUAGCUGGUCUGAGAGGACGAUCAGCCACACUGGGACUGAGACACGGCCCAGACUCCUACGGGAGGCAGCAGUGGGGAAUUUUGGACAAUGGGCGCAAGCCUGAUCCAGCAAUGCCGCGUGCAGGACGAAGGCCUUCGGGUUGUAAACUGCUUUUGUACGGAGCGAAACGGCUCUGGUUAAUACCUGGGGCUCAUGACGGUACCGUAAGAAUAAGCACCGGCUAACUACGUGCCAGCCGCCGCAGUAA
rnacentral:rRNA from 1 species